CGGUGGAGUAUGUGGUUAAUUCGAUGCAACGCGAAGAACCUUACCUGGUCUUGACAUCCCGGAGACCCUUAGGAAACUAGGGGUGCUUCCAUCUGGAAGAAUCUGGAGACAGGUGCUGCAUGGCUGUCGUCAGCUCGUGUCGUGAGAUGUUGGGUUAAGUCCCGCAACGAGCGCAACCCUUGCCUUUAGUUGCCAGCAGUUCGGCUGGGCACUCUAAAGGGACUGCCGGUGUUAAACCGGAGGAAGGUGGGGAUGACGUCAAGUCCUCAUGGCCUUUAUGACCAGGGCUACACACGUACUACAAUGGCCGAUACAAAGGGCAGCGACACUGCGAGGUGAAGCCAAUCCCGUAAAAUCGGUCUCAGUCCGGAUUGGAGUCUGCAACUCGACUCCAUGAAGUUGGAAUCGCUAGUAAUCGUGGAUCAGCAUGCCACGGUGAAUACGUUCCCGGGCCUU
rnacentral:rRNA from 1 species